rnacentral:rRNA from 1 species
UACGUAGGGACCAAGCGUUGUUCGGAUUUACUGGGCGUAAAGGGCGCGUAGGCGGCGUGUUAAUCAGCUGUGAAAUCUCCAAGCUUAACUUGGAACGGUCAGCUGAUACUGAUGUGCUAGAGUGCAGAAGGGGCAAUCGGAAUUCUUGGUGUAGCGGUGAAAUGCGUAGAUAUCAAGAGGAACACCUGAGGUGAAGACGGGUUGCUGGGCUGACACUGACGCUGAGGCGCGAAAGCUAGGGUAGCAAACGGG